AUUGAACGCUGGCGGCAGGCCUAACACAUGCAAUUCGAACGAGUGGCGGACGGGUGAGUAAUGUCUGGGAAACGGCCUGAUGGAGGGGUAUCACUACUGGAAACGGUAGCUAAUACCGAAUAACAUCAGUUGUGCCCAGAUGGGUUUAUCUUGUUGGUGUGGUAACGUCGCACCAAGGCGACUCUCCCUAGCUGGUAUGAGGGGAUGACCAGCCACACUGGAACUGAGACACGGUCCAGAAUCCGACGGGAGUCAUCAGGGGGGAAUAGUGCACAAUGGGCGCAAGCCUGAUGCAGCCAUGCGGCGUGUAUGAAGAAGGCCUUCGGGUUGUAAAGUACGUUCAGCGGAGAGGCGUUACCCGCAGAAGAAGCACCGGCUAACUCCGUGCCAGAAGCCGCGGUAAUUC
rnacentral:rRNA from 1 species